CGGGCUGCGGCUUGAAACCGUCCUAGGGCUGUGUGACAGAGGCAGCGCGCCCCCUGAUUGGCUUUCUCUCUUCGGCUCUCUUCGGGUUGGCCCGGCAAUAGCCGGAAAAGAGGGCUCCUUCCUAUUGGCUCCCCGACCGCGCUGCUAGGGCGGUGGCAGCGUUUUCCGAUUGGGUCUCCGUUUCGCUUCGGGGAGAUUCGGUGGCGCUCGUGUCGACUUCGCGAUUGGUUACGACCCGUUACAGGCAUUUCCGUAACGACCUCGGGAUUGGUCCCGAUGAGGCUCGGAUGUUUCCGUAAGGGCCUCGGGCUGGGGGCUAACGAGUGCGUCGGGCUCCUCGGCUGGGUAUUCACAGAAGGUGCUUAGGGCCAUUCCGCAGCGUAGGGCGGCGACGGGCAUAGGCGGCUGCGCGGCUUUGGCGCACACACAGAGCGCAGCAGCAGGAGCCCGGCACGCAGCGGAGGCAGCAGCGGGGACAAAGGGACUGAUCGGCAGAAACGGGGAGGGGGGCCCGGCGGGAAGCAGCUGGCGCCGGGAGGGAGCGGCGGGAGGCUUCAGCCGGGCGGGCGAGUCCCAUGUGCCUUGGACGCCCGGGGAAGCAGCAGCAACAGCCGCCGCCGCCAGCGCUCUGAAGCCGGCUGAGGAGGAGCCGGGGAGCCGCCACCGCCGCCGUCAUGGCCUGCGCCGCCGCCGCAGGCCGCCACCCGCAGUGCAGCCUCCCCAGCCUGAGCCGCCGCCAGCUGCCCCUGCGGGCGCAAUGAGGAGCCGCGCCGGAGCCGCCGCCUCAGCGCUGCACUGAGAAGCCUUAACGAGCGAGCGAGGCCGCCCGGGCCGCUUCACCUCUACUCCGCCCGCCGCGGAUUCCACCGCCCCUGCCGGAUCCCUUUGCGAGAGGUCGCAUCACCGCCUGUCGGCGGAUCCGGGAGCCCCGAGAUCCCUCCGCCGGGAAAAAAUAGUCCCGUUCCCUGCCGCCUCCCUCAGAGGCGAGGGGGAAGGAGAGGAGAGGGGAGGGGGAAGAAGGAGGAGGAAGAAAAAGAAGAAAAAAAAAAGAGAAAAAAGAGAAACCCAGCGGUGGGAUCAGAGGAACCGGGCCGUGAGCCUCCGCCCCAUGUGACUGGCGCCCAGGGUGGGAGCAGCGAGGCCUAGCAAACCCCCCUCGCUCGCGGCCGGGAGCAGGAGCGGGAGCGGCGCCGGGGGGGCUGCGGACUGGGCGGAGGCGGCUCUCGGACCCACCGGCGCUGCCGGGAAGGAUGGUUUUGUGAGAAACGGGCGGCGUGAGGAGGAGAAAGAAGAAGCCGGGCGAAGAGCGCGACAGAGACCGAGAGGGGAGGGGGCUUCCCCGGGGGGGGGGAAGGGGGGGGGCCCGGCGUUUCAUGUGGCGCGUCCCGCCCGUCUCCUCCAGCUGAGCGAGCGAGGGAGCGGCAGGCGGGCCCGCCGAGCCGCCGGGGCGAGGCGGAGGGCGAAGGCAGGAAGAGAGAGGUGAUCGGGGCAGAGCAGGAGCGGGAGACCAUGUCCGGGCGGCCCAGGACCACCUCCUUCGCGGAGAGCUGCAAGCCGGUGCAGCAGCCCUCGGCCUUCGGCAGCAUGAAAGUUAGCCGAGACAAAGAUGGCAGCAAAGUGACUACAGUAGUGGCAACUCCUGGACAAGGUCCGGACCGACCACAAGAAGUUAGCUACACAGACACCAAGGUGAUUGGAAAUGGAUCUUUUGGUGUUGUGUAUCAAGCCAAACUCUGUGAUUCAGGAGAGCUUGUGGCCAUUAAGAAAGUCCUGCAGGAUAAAAGAUUUAAGAACCGAGAGCUCCAGAUUAUGAGAAAGUUGGAUCAUUGUAACAUUGUCCGAUUGCGUUAUUUCUUCUACUCUAGUGGAGAGAAGAAAGAUGAGGUGUACCUCAACUUGGUGCUGGACUAUGUUCCUGAAACAGUAUACAGAGUUGCCAGACAUUAUAGUCGGGCCAAACAGACACUCCCUAUGAUUUAUGUCAAGUUGUACAUGUACCAGCUGUUCCGGAGUUUAGCCUAUAUCCAUUCCUUUGGGAUCUGCCACCGGGAUAUAAAACCACAGAACCUCUUGCUGGACCCUGAUACAGCUGUUCUAAAACUCUGUGACUUUGGAAGUGCAAAACAGCUGGUUCGUGGAGAACCUAAUGUCUCAUACAUCUGUUCUCGGUACUACAGGGCACCAGAGUUGAUCUUUGGAGCCACCGAUUAUACCUCCAGUAUAGAUGUGUGGUCAGCAGGCUGUGUAUUGGCUGAACUGUUACUAGGACAACCAAUCUUUCCAGGUGAUAGUGGUGUGGAUCAGUUGGUGGAAAUAAUCAAGGUUCUGGGAACGCCUACAAGGGAGCAAAUUAGAGAAAUGAAUCCAAACUAUACUGAAUUCAAAUUCCCUCAGAUUAAGGCACAUCCAUGGUCUAAGGACUCGUCAGGAACAGGACAUUUCACCUCAGGAGUACGGGUCUUCCGGCCCCGCACUCCACCAGAAGCAAUUGCGCUAUGUAGCCGUCUGUUGGAGUACACCCCCACUGCCCGCCUGACUCCCCUGGAGGCCUGUGCGCACUCUUUCUUCGAUGAACUACGGGACCCAAAUGUCAAGUUACCAAAUGGGCGAGACAAACCUGCACUCUUCAAUUUCACCACUCAAGAACUGUCAAGUAACCCAUCUCUGGCUUCGAUCCUCAUCCCUGCUCAUGCCCGGAACCAAGCAGCUGCUUCAACCCCUACAAACGCUACAGCUGCCUCAGGUGAGAACAUGCAACUGCCUGCCUCUCUCCCUACCCUCGCUCCCCCUGCCCAGGCACCUUCCUCCUGCUGAGGCCCACGAGCCACCUCGGCCCUUGGAGUGAAUGGGGAGGAAGGGGUCAUUCUAGCAUCACCUGAAACUCAGUCUUGGUAGGUGGUCAUUUGGGUCCUAGCUGUGAUCGCCAACCCCAAUCCUAACCCAGGGCACUUAAACUCUGUGUUCGGCUGUUGAGUUUGGUCAUUCUCACUCAGACUUCACUAUUAAACAAUCAUUCUCUCACCUGUUUUUUAGCAAUCCUUGUGGAUUGGUUUGCACCUAAUUUCUGAGCUCUCGGCCAGUCUGAAGUUAAAACUGACCUGGAGCAUGAGUGUUUGAUGCCUAGAAGAGAAGAAACAGCUAGCUCAGUACACGUGGCCUGCAUGGAUGGAGAGGAUAUUUUCCCCAAAAGCAUUAGCACUCGAAAGUCUAGUUAGGGAGUUCAGUCAGCAUGCUCACUGCCUCAUCUAAGUAGUUGCAGUUGCUUCUUACUGAGUUUGCUUGUGUCAUCUUUGAGCACGAGGCAGAUGCUUUUGGGUUUUGGCCAGCACUAUAUGAAUUUGGUUUUUGCCUCUCUCUCUCUCAGAUUUCUGUCAGAAACCUUUUAAAAGCUCACUGUUGGCCUGUAGCCACUCCGUAUUGUAUUCUGUUUCCAGUGAAAGCUUAAAAGCUGGGUAAUAUCAGUUGGGAGACUCCCAAAGAAAAUCCCAGGUGCUGCAGGAUGUGGCAGAGGUGAUUUAGUGUAUGGCACACUUCCUCUGAGUCAGCCCUGAGUCAGCACACCAGCCGGCUGUCUUGGGGCUUGGGCAACCAAAGGCAGUCUGCAAAAUGGGUGUGCUUCCAUACGCAUCCUGUGCACAUGUCAGUCCCAUUUGACAAGGGCUGUGACCCCCUUUUGAGGUGCAGGGCAUUUGCUCAAUGUAAGAUUAGCUGAUAAGGAGAAGCCCUAAUUAAAAAGGUAUUCUUGAAAUGUGCAGGACAGUGUUUGCAGGUUAACAUGCCACACAGUUCCCUGUGCUGAUGGUGAUCACUGAUGCGCUCGGUCCAGCCAGUGCUGUACGGAAAGCAUUUUCAUACUCCAGGACAGACAGAUGCACCUGGGUUUGAAAGAUGGGGCUUCUCUCUGAAAAUGUAGUAGCAGUAGGUGAAAAAUAACAGUCUGUACAAUUUAUGUGGUCUGAAUUUAGGAGAAAGCAAAAUUGCUAUUCUCAAAUGUAGUAUGUUUAUUUCAUAUACUUGGCAGUAUUUUGCAAAUAGUCAUGUUCACUGUUUCCCUUUUAUGUGCAUCUGUUGCUCAACAACGAGUGAGAAAAGAAAGCAGAUAAAGUAGUAAAAGUGAUUGAAAAAAUGACAAAGUACAAACAUGGAAAAUUAUUUUAAGCCCUUCUGAAAAAUACUGUUUCACUUAAUGUCCCUUUCAUGCCUUUUAAGGAGUUCUCUCUGCCAAGAUACAAGUCUUGACGAAUUAAUGGGGUUAAGAAGUUUUUCACCCAGCACUUUCCAAGAGUUCACGUGGGGAGAAGAGGCAUUAGGUUGAGUCAUAAAUGUGAAGUAUACUGAAAGAGAAGAAGGAAAAAAAAACCAGAACAAAAAAAACCCCCACCUAAACCAGCCCCACCUUAUUGCUGUCAACAUUUUUAACCGCCUCUUUGCAAGCACUGCACUGAGUUGGGAUAGGACCUCUUACUCAUAGUUCAAAAACCAACAACAAAAAAAAAAAACCUUGCAGCUUGGAAAGAAAUUGUGAAAUUAAGUUCAGUAUUGGGCAACAAUCAGCUUUGGGUUUCUGUGGCGCAGCUGGUUGGUAGUUUCUUACUCACAUGUGGUUCUCGCUGCAGGCAGUGGGAAUUUGAUCAGAGCUGUGAUUUUUAGGAUUAGGUCCUGUAUGAGGUUAUGUUAAUCUGUUGUGCUUUGCAUGCUGAUGCUAUGCUUAGCAAGAGAUUUUUGUAGAAGGGGUCCCUUCUUUCCCUAUACCCCCUGCACAUCCCAGAGCAGUAAGUUUUAGUAACUGCUAAAGCAGCAUGGGAGCAACUUGCCCACAUAACCCAGGGCAUCCCAAUAGGCAGGAGGCUUUUCUGCAAAAUGUUUGCUCAUGUGAGUAAGCAGUACAAGUUCAGAAACUACUUUUUUGAGUGGUGAUGAUGCUACAAAAUGUAGCUCUCAAGGCAAUUCAAAGGGCAAAGCAAAUUAUAUGUAACUGUAGUCUACAUUAUUAGUGUGUAACUCUUGUCUGCCUUUGGCAAGCAGAACUGAUACUGAGGUUCAAGUGUCCACUGCUAUGUCCAGCGUAGCUGCAUACUCUCUAAGCUUGAGGGAUAGGUGCACAUACAUGGAAAUGCAGCAUACUAGUUCAUCACUGUAGACAAUCCAGCUGAGCUGUUACUACCUGCUUGCAGACAGUUCUCCAUUUUCAUAGCUGUCAUGUUGGUAUGCAGCCAUGUCAAAAUUUCAGCUUUUUGAUAAGGUGUAAAGCUCAGCUUUAUAUCAUGCAGUUUCUUUGUAUACAAAGCAGGUUCAUAAUUAAAAAAUAACUAGAAAAAUGAGAUCUAUUUGUCUGAAGUCUAGCAAAGUAGCGUUUGCCAGGAGACUUAGCAGUGGUGUGCUGUUAAGAGAUGGAAAGAUUGGCUUUUCAACAUACCUUGUUAACAGUGCAGGCUUAAUCAAGGCAGCAAUACUAGCCCUUGUGCUAACCAACAUGGCACGCAUCUGCAUUUUAAAAAAGUUCUCCAAGACAAGUAAUUUUUGUUAACUGAUAGAUGCACAGUGGUGAUCUUAACAGCCAGUUCAACAGUAGUCCUGGGAUCGUUAUGUUAAAUGCAAGAGAAUUAUCAUGUUAUUUUUUGAGUGUUAAAAAAUGUAUUUGUUGUAAAUUUCCUCUUCUCUUGAGGUUUAAAGCUGGGCUUGCUGUACUAAUGGAACUUGGCUUUGCACUGGGAGUAUGAAGCCUUGCUGCACUGGUGUUAGUAAAUUAACCUAAAUGUUUGAGAAAUUCUCUGUGACGUUAGUGGCGUGUCUAAAGCAAAGUGGAGGAAAAGGAGGAUGGGAGUUACUGGCCCCUGCUUGAAAUGGUGCAGUAGCUUUCUGUGGGUUAUGCUGGCCACUGAUUAAAAAUGCCAGUGCAGUUGUAUUCGCGUGGAUGCUGUUUGAUCUAGUGAGGAGGAGGAGGAGAAUGGUUUCAUAGCUGUGCAGCCACAGCAUGCAAGAUGGGAGCAUGCACACCAAUGCAUAUCUGCUUGUGUGACUAUGUGUUUUUCUUCCUGGAUCAGCCAGCAGCAGUAGUUACCUCGCUGGUAGUCAGCGUUAAGAUGGGAAGAGCAUAAUUGCCAUCUGCAGGGGAGUUGUGCCAGCAGGGAUGCUGGGGUCAUCGUCUUAGGCAUCCCGCUGUGUUGAUCCUGUGUAAUCCCAAAUGCGAUGGCGUGCCUGAACUUUCAGCAACAAAACAGAUUAGGGCUGGUGUUACCUGCCAAUGUGUGGCAGCUGAAAAAGACCAUAGUACUCCAUAAAAUAAGAUUCAAUGCAUUUACGCUAUACCCGUGGAAGGAAAUUUGGAAAACUUUAAUUCCUUAACCAGGAGAAAGAGAGGUAAGCAAUUUGCUCAGGCUUCUGCAAAGCUCAGCACAGGGAUUGAGUCCAUGACAGUUAGAGGAGUAAAACUUGCAUGUUUCAGGCUCGCCAGUUUUGCGCUGAGCCCUGGAUUUCUAUGUCUGUAAGCACUAUAUGAAAACCAGGCUUUUUUCCUCCUUCCACUUGUCUCCUCAGCUGUCCUGUGAGGACUCCCAGGCUGGCGGUAGGGUUUUUCCUGUAUCUUUGCAGAUGAGCAGUGUUACGAAUCCAACCAGCUAAUGCUGUCAUUAGUGCUAAUGGGCUUUCUCAGACUGAGUUGGCAUCCCUGUCUGUCUUUGAACUAUAGCCCCAUCCUUCCUUUCCGGGAGGUUUGUGAGGAGUGUCACAUACCCUCCAAGAAAGCUGAGGCAUUCUUCAGAGGGAAACUGGAGGAGGUGCUCUACAUUGGUGAGAGAUAACUUUUGCCCUCUGUUUGGAAGAACUUUUGGAACGGGCUAACACUUAAGCCCUGAUGUGGUUUCUUUGCCCACACAGGCAGAGAUGUCAGGUGGAUAGGUUAGGGCAAAGAGGCUGUCCUGACCUCAACCCGCAGUCUGCUGUGUAGUCAUCUGUUCCGUACCAGAAAGCUGCAUGUCAGCUCCUGGCUUCACUCCCCAGCAGGGCUUCCACAGUGGCACAGGCAGCUGUUUUGCAAAGCACAUGUUUAGUAGCAUUGCUGAAGGCCUAGAUUUUCUUCUUUUAUGCCCAAAUACUGAUUCCUCGUGGUGAGGAGGAGUAAGUGAAUGUCCAUGGACCCUCAUACUCCAGUUGUGCUUUUUCUGGCGCUUCAGCAAAUUGAUGCUGGAGCAAGGUCUUCUUUGUUCCUCAAAUGUCCUGUCAAUACGGAGUCAAAGAUCAAGCUGGAAUGUCAAAAAACUGCAUUUUCUUGCAGGUUUGGAGCCAGUACAGCCUGGAGCAGGCUCUGCACUCUGCCCCAGCCUGGGUGAACUUCUAUAUAUUGUUGUGAAAAGCCCCAUGUAAACGAUCUUGGGCGGUGUCACUUGAUUUAUUUCCUGUUUAACAUGUGGCAUAUGUAUUUCUCAGGAACUCCCCCAUUAGAGUGAUGAUAGUAAAGGAGCAUAUGUUACAUGAAGUAGCUCCAUCCCCUCCUCUUUUUUCUGUAUCUCUGCUCAGUAGCAAUGUAAUGAUAAUGAUUUCAGCCUCUGCUGUCUUCAGGAAUAGGAGAUCAAAAGGCACGUUUCAUUUCAGCAAAUGAAACACAAGCACUUUUUGUACAGAUACAGAGAAAUCCUCUGCCAGCAGUACAGACUCCAGCUGGACUGCUCGCAUCAGGCACGGCAGAUGUUGCAUUAACUGGAGUUUAUCCAUACCUGAAAAUUAAUCUAGAACAGGCACAGUGAGAGUUUAAAGUGUGGAAACUAUUAGCUGUGUCUGGCUGGGUCACUUUUGAUUUCCAUGGUCAUUGGUGUGCAUGCAUGUGGGAUUUGGGAAUUGCUCCUUCAGGGUCAUUCUCCACGUAGGAGGGAGCCUCACGUGCAAGGCUAGCUUUCCAAAUAGUGCUGGCACUGUUGUCAUGCUGCCUUGGUGCUUUAACCGCAUGAGCUUUUUUUUUUAUUAUGGUGGGCCAUUCUUUUGGGAGGAAGGGGUUGCAAGUGAUUUGGAGUGGGGGGGAAAGGGAAUGGGAAACUCGCCGAGCAGUCAUUUGGCAUCCUCUGCCUGCAGGAUUUCCCUUUCUUCCCACAUGCUCCUCACAGCAUUUCCUUUUCAAAUAGGCGUCCUCUCUCAUCCCACUUGUCCUUUGUAUUCCUGGGUGCUGUUGUGUUUGAUUUCCCUUUUUUUGUUGCCGUUGGCUGUGCAUGUUACUUAAUUUGUCGCUCAACCCGUGCUGCCCAUCUCUAAGACUCUCAUUCAUUUCACUGCCUUUGCUUGUGGCUCGUGGUCAGGUCAAUGUGGCAGGAGAGGAGAGGGGGUUUCGUUAACAGGUGACUGUAGAGCAUUGCCCGGCUGCACUGCCUCGCGAGCUCUUCUGUGCCAGAGAAGUAUUACUGCACCCCCGCCACCCACCAGUUGUAUUUUGUCAUGUCUAUUAUUUAUGCUAGUCGUACUGUCCUUCAGUCUGAGGUCAGUAAUUCUACUCUUUCUUUCUAUGAGCUUUUUCCCCUGUGUCUUUUUGAAUGCACUGUUUGCCCAGUCUGCCCUCUUCUGUACUGAGAUAAGUCGUCAGGUUUUUUUUCCUGUUGCAGUAUUGAUAGCUUUGCAGUUAACCUUACUUAAAUUAAGUGGGAGAAAUGCAUGAUGGUCUCUUGUAGAAAACCUCACUUAAUAUCUUUUUCCUAUCCCAUAUUUAUUGUGUUGAGUAUUUCGUGUUUUUAACUGUUCAUCCACUUAUUGUGACCAUGCUAAUUAGAUGCUCUGUGGCAUGCUUCUAGAUGAAGUCGGUGCGUUUUUUUCCCUACCAAUUCUUCUAAGAACAAUUUUUUCAGAGAAAAUACCUGAUGUAUGUGGCAUAUGAAAACACAGUUAUAGUGAAUUUCCUUUCUAUGUUUAUUUGCAACCCUUGUGUUUUCUUGGAAUGCACUUUGACAUGUGCCCAUGAUACCAUGAGCUGUCUCUCUGCGGAGCACUGUCCCUCCCAGAGAAGAGGUGGUGUUGAAGACCCUUUACUGCAGACACUCGAUCCUCUAACGAUGUCAUAUGCUUGCAUAAACCUCAUGACUGGCUUCAGGCCUUGAUGUUAAUCUUCAGAGGGUGGCAGAUCCAACUUUGGUUGGGCAACACAGAAUAAAGCAGUAGACUUGAAAGACGUUUUCUGAGGCAACGAGUGCAUGAAUUACACAUUAACACACAAGCUGUUUCUGCCAGGGGAAGCAGGCUCCUCGCGUUCGUUGUCUGCGCUCGUUCACACAAUUAACAGGCGCCUUUGUUACAACAAAACCAAACAAUAUGAAACUUCAGCACCAACGUGAAACCCUGUAGUUGCCACAGAUACUUGAUGUGUUAGCUUUGGCGAUGCUAGCGUGCCUUGUAUUGCAAUUAGAGUUACUGGAAUGUAACAUGGGCGACUUACCACUGUGGCGACAAUGUUACAUCCUGCAAAAUCCGCUGGAGCCCAGCUGGGUGUUCGCAUGCCAGCCUGUAACCCUCAACCCUUGGGGUUGCCUUUGUCCUGCUUAAAGACCAUCUUCCCACCCUUUCCCCAGAACCAACCGUUCCAUCUGCACCUCCUGAAGUCAGGAGAGCAUCCUAACCAAACAGCACCUUGGUGGGAGUCGUGGGGUUCCCCGUGCGGAGGAUGUUGUAGCUAUUGUUCCGAAUCUGUCUGUAUUUUGGAGUCUGACUGAAGCGUGAGGUGAAUGCUUGUCCUAGUCCAUCUUGUUCAGGGUCCGGGUUUCCUCCCCGCGAUGACGCGUGGUGUGAGCAUCCACGUCUAUCUUCCUGAAGUCAAAGCAAUAUUCCUCGGGAAAGGGUCAGGUGAGCGGCCGGACGCAGCCGCGGCAUAAAACGAGACUUUCGGAGAACCUGAUCUUGUCGUAGGCUUGCAGUUGGUGUCCGCUCCGGCCUUAUCCUCCUUCAGAGAAACUGUAGUCGCCUUCGGUGCUUAUCGAGCUGUCAUUCGACCUGUGGAUUUCUAAGGCAAGCGGUUGCUUUUCGGGAAUUGCGCGGACCUUCGCGCGGCCGGCAGUAGCGGCUUCGGCAAGCUCGGCCGCCACGGGGGCGGCCAGGGCUUUGCUCAUGAGUUCAGUGCGUUUCUCCUUGUACCUUCUAUCCUGUUGGCGUGGGAUUUUUUUUGGAAACUGUCUCUUAGCAGCCCUGGAACUGAUAAAAGCCCUGCUCUCUCCCUUCUGCGACACGCAGGGGAUUUCAGGGAGGCAGGAGCUGUUUCAAGAGGUCAGUGACCACCUACCAUGAAACCGAUAAAGCCUCCAUGUUAUACCCCUCGGCAAUUUGCUGUCGGGCACACAGAGAGAAGGAAAAAAAAAAAAAAGAUUUUAAAGCUUUUAGCUGUUGUUAAAUUCUGUCUGGCUGCAAAGGAAAGCACACCUACGUUCGGAAACGGGUGGCUUUCCAGAUCCUUACAUGCAACCUAAUAGAAAGGGCUGAAGAGCAUCUUAAUGCGAGAGCUCGGCUAGUCAGUGUCCCGAAAGGUAAGUGAAGGGGCUCGGUUGACCCAGUGAUCCAAACGGAUGCAGGAGAAUCAAAAAGUAGGACAGUGGCAGGGUAUGGAUCCGCUGUAUAGGCGAGACUGCUGAAGCAUUGGCCAUGGACGCUGUUAUUUGGAGGCAGUAAAUUACUGAGUCUUUAAAAAAAAAAAAAGUAAUAAUGAAGAAAAAUUGCUGCUUGUGCCAGGAAAUGUGGCUUUUCUUCUUUUUCAUUCUGUUUUUUCAUUUAAGACUGGCAGAGGGGAGUUAAGAGCUUUUCCCUCUGGUUUUGUGACUGUGCCGGCGUCUGUGUGUGUGUCUUGUGUGUGUGUUAGGCUGGGGGAGGGUCGGGGGCACCUCUCUGGUUUUAGUUCUUUUUUUUUUUUUUUUUUUCUUUUCUUUCCAAGGAUCAUGGCAGGAUCACACACUCUUUUAUACAAGUUAGAUCCAGGUCUUUGAAUAACCUUUUUUGUAAAUAAGAAAAAAAAACAACAAAAAAAAACCCCAACAACAACAACAAAAAAAAGCUCCUCACCAAAUUCAAGCUUGUACAUUAUUAUUUUUGGUUGUUUUUGAAUUUUGAGUUUUAUUGUUUUGUAUGUAAAUAUGUGGACCCAGGAACUGUUAUUAAUGAGCAAAAAGUUACCGUUCAGGGCAGUGAUUCUGUUUAAUAAUCAGACAAAAUGUAGACGAGCUUUUUAAAGCCAUAUAGUUUUAACUCUGUACAGUAGGUACCGGCCUGUAUUAUUGUAACAAUAACUCUAGCGAUGUAUAGUGUAUCUAUAUAGUUUGGAGUGCCUUCGCUUCCAUGAUUUUUUGAAUUUUAUUUCCCCCCCUUUUUUUUUCCCCUCCCCUCCUUUAUUAACGUCUCCCACCCCAAACCCGCAUCUUUGCUCCCCC